GACGAACGCUGGCGGCGUGCUUAACACAUGCAAGUCGAACGGAAAGGCGCUACGCUUGUUGCUUUCUCGUUUGCCGAACGGGGGAGUAACACGCGUGUAACCUGUACCUAUCUUUGUGGUAACUUCACGAAACUCGGGCGAAUACCCGAUAGGAUCUCCUGCUGCAUAGUGUUGGUUGGAAAGUUUGGGCGUUUGGGGAUGGACUCGCGGCUUAUCCGCUUGUUUGUGAGGUAGUGGCUUACCAAGGCUUCGACGGGUAGCCGGCCUGAGAGGGUGACCGGGGACAUUGGGACUGAGAUACGGACCAGAAGCGUACGGGAGGCAGUGGUGGAGAGUCUUGCGGAGUGGCGGGACGCCAGAUAUAGAAGCGCUGCGUGCGGGAUGCUGGCCUUCGGGUGGUGAACAGAUUUGGAAUGUGACGAAGAGUGCGUGACGGUAAUGAGUCAGAAAGCAACGGCUAACUACGUG
rnacentral:rRNA from 1 species